rnacentral:lncRNA from 1 species
ACAGCAUUGUAUUUAAAUUUUCUCACUUCUCAGUAUUGCUAUAUUAAUUUCUUAAUAACCAUGAAAUAGCAAAUUUUCUUUCUUUUAUAGCAACCGUCAGACGUUACAUUUUAGUGUUACCCGUAUACUUAAGGACCAACUAAAUUUAAAAAUAUAUAUAUAAUAAUAAUAAUGACCGGACAUGUACCAAGCACGUGUCCUGCUGAUGAUUAGAGCGAUAGAACUGGAACCUACUGGUUUUAGAUAAUGCUGACAAACUACGUAUAAAAUGUUUUGAACGAUUUAAAAUCACGAAAUUAAAAAUAUCAUUCGAGCAUUCAAGCGUUAACAUUUUUAUUCAGUAACUCGCAUAAAUUUCACUCCUUUUUGGAAAGAGAGAAAUUUACCAAACACCAUAAUCAUCGGGUUUUAUCACUUACUCAUAUGUGGCAUAACUAAUAGGGCAAUAUCUCUUCCUAGAACUAAAGGUCAUAAUUCAAAAUCACCACAGAACAAAACAUGUUUUCUAUAGUAACCAUCCCCUUACAUUUAAGUAGAAAUAAUUUCGUCUGCGUCUGGCAGGUGAACGAACAUCACUUCUUGGAACCUUUUUUUUUAUUAUUGUUAUUAAUGAAUUCUAAAAUUAGAAAGUGGUAAAGAAAGGAUUCUUCUGCUAAAUCAAGUUUUGGUAUCUGUAUCAACCUCCGCCUUUUUCUGUCUUGAGUGUACUGACUCCUAUAUGUUACAAGGAUACUCGUCAAUGAUGAAUUAAACGGUGCUCGCCUUCUUUAAACAUUUCGAAGGGGGAAGAAAAUUUCUGCACAUGAAAAUCUAAAAAGUCGACCUAUAUUUUGUUUUGGUAACGUUUAUUUACUGUCGAAAACACGUGAUAAAAAUGAUAUUUCUGCAUAGACUUUUGCGACUGCGUCGAAACACCUACACUUCUUAUAAGCUUCAACCCAAACUACGUAUUUUAUCAUUCGAGACAAGUGAUCGUGCUGCUUUGAAAUACACAUUCGUCAGUCCAAAUCUGAUCCGAUUUUAUUAUUGCCAUCUACUGUCUGCCACCAUCAGAGUGGACUUGAUAAUCAAAACCUGCAACAACCUUUACCACUGUCUCCUAGUUGGCACCAACAGGUAUCACACAGUUGGGAUCAAGAAUUCUAUCAUAGUUUAGAAGAUUUGAACAGACAGACUAACCUCGACACAAAUAUGCUCACCAUUGAAGGCUUGAGGAGUCACUUUAAUUCUUGUUUCAG